CGCACCUUGCGCUCCUUGGUAUUCCGAGGAGCAUGCCUGUUUGAGUGUCAUGAAAUUCUCAACCUAUAAAGCUUUUGUGGUCUUAUAGGAUUGGACUUGGAGGCUUUGUCGGCUGCUUGCAGUGGGCUCCUCUCAAAUGUAUUAGCUUGAUUCCUUGCGGAUCGGCUCUCGGUGUGAUAAUGUCUACGCCGCGACCGUGAAGCGUUUGGCGAGCUUCUAGUCGUCUCAUUAGAGACAGCUUCAUUGACCUCUGACCUCAAAUCAGGUAGGACUACCCGCUGAACUUAA
rnacentral:misc_RNA from 1 species